rnacentral:lncRNA from 1 species
CUACUUAAGCAUAUUCUCUGCAUCUGUAUUUAUUUAAAAAUGCUUUUGCAACCUGACACUGUUCAGCUUUUUUAUCUUUUACCAGUAUUUGGGGACUUAUUGGGGAUUCCUUUGAUAAUUUCAGGAAGAAAGAAGUGGAAUGGAAGGAGCCAGUAACUGUCCCAGGUCAGAAAACGCCUCUGAAAAGGAUCUACAUUACACCCAAAGUUCAUUGGAUAACUGCACCCUCAACAAUCAGGAGACAAUAAGUGGUGUAGACAGAGCUAAUAUCUUCCCCAAAUCAGAUGGUACCUCUGAAGACAUUCAGCAUUCCACAGACUGUUCACAGGUUGAGACUUUCCACAUUCAGGAGACAAUAAGUGGUACGAACCAAGCCAGUAACUGCCCCAAAUCAGAUGGUGCCUCUGAAGACAAUCAGCAUUGCACAGACAGUUCACAGCAUGACAGUAUCUUCCACAUUCAGGAGACAAUAAAGGGUAUGAACCAAGCCAGUAACUGCCCCAAAUCAGAUGGUGCCUCUGAAGACAAUCAGCAUUGCACAGACAGUCCACAGCAUGACAGUAUCUUCCACAUUCAGGAGACAAUAAAGGGUAUGAACCAAGCCAGUAACUGCCCCAAAUCAGAUGGUGCCUCUGAAGACAAUCAGCAUUGCACAGACAGUCCACAGCAUGACAGUAUCUUCCACAUUCAGGAGACAAUAAAGGGUAUGAACCAAGCCAGUAACUGCCCCAAAUCAGAUGGUGCCUCUGAAGACAAUCAGCAUUGCACAGACAGUCCACAGCAUGACAGUAUCUUCCACAUUCAGGAGACAAUAAAGGGUAUGAACCAAGCCAGUAACUGCCCCAAAUCAGAUGGUGCCUCUGAAGACAAUCAGCAUUGCACAGACAGUCCACAGCAUGACAGUAUCUUCCACAUUCAGGAGACAAUAAAGGGUAUGAACCAAGCCAGUAACUGCCCCAAAUCAGAUGGUGCCUCUGAAGACAAUCAGCAUUGCACAGACAGUUCACAGCAUGACAGUAUCUUCCACAUUCAGGAGACAAUAAAGGGUAUGAACCAAGCCAGUAACUGCCCCAAAUCAGAUGGUGCCUCUGAAGACAAUCAGCAUUGCACAGACAGUCCACAGCAUGACAGUAUCUUCCACAUUCAGUGGCUCUUGAUGUAGAACCACCCAUAGAUCCUUCUGCAAAAGAAGUCCAGAAAUCUUCAAUUGAACAAGCAACAGAAAUAACAAGUACCACAACUACCAUGAAAGGUACUGUUUGUUAAACUUCAUAGAAAGCCUUUAUGAACUUAAAAAUCUCUGUUUUUUCUGAUGUGCUUUGUUCAUUCAGGUCGAAAGGUGGUAAAGAAAAAGAAAUGGGACAGUGAUGAAAUGAAUGCAGUUGAAAAGCAUCUAAACAGGUUCAUCAAAACUUGUACAGUGCCAGGAAAACAACAAUGUGAGGCCUGUAUAAAUGCUGAACCUGUUGCCUUGAAAGACAGGGAUUGGUUGUCUGUAAAGUUCUUUGUGAAGAACAAAAUCACUACCCUUAAAAGAAGAAUGUAAAGUCAGUUAUUUUAUUUUGUUUGGUAUCUUAUUUUCUGGUAUUUUAGAUUUCUGGUUAUUACAUUUGUUUUAAAAGGAUCUUAGAAUCUCUUUUUUUUUUUUUUGGAAAUGGGUGCAAUUCAGUAAAGUGUCUUUGAAUCGAAUGUAAAUAUGUACAGAAUACUGUUCAGAAUGCUACAUAAAAAUAGCAAAAAAAAAUAAAUAUUUUAUUCAUGUUAUUAAAUUUUGAUCU